rnacentral:rRNA from 1 species
CUUGUACACACCGCCCGUCACACCAUGGGAGCGGGUUUCACCAGAAGUAGAUAGCUUAACCGCAAGGAGGGCGUCUACCACGGUGGGAUUUGUGACUGGGGUG